UACGGAGGGGGCGAGCGUUAUUCGGAAUUAUUGGGCGUAAAGGGCGCGUAGGCGGCUUCAUAAGUCAAAGGUGAAAUCCCUCGGCUCAACUGAGGAACUGCCUUUGAAACUGUGGAGCUUGAGGCCGGGAGGGGGUAGCGGAAUUCCCAGUGUAGCGGUGAAAUGCGCAGAUAUCAGGAGGAACACCGAUGGCGAAGGCAGGUCUCUGGGCCGCUACUGACGCUGAGAAGCGAAAGCAUGGGGAGCGAACAGG
rnacentral:rRNA from 1 species